rnacentral:rRNA from 1 species
GAUGAACGCUGGCGGCGUGCUUAACACAUGCAAGUCGAACGGGAAACCUUUUAUUGAAGCUUCGGCAGAUUUAGCUGGUUUCUAGUGGCGGACGGGUGAGUAACGCGUGGGUAACCUGCCCUAUACAGGGGGAUAACAACCAGAAAUGGUUGCUAAUACCGCAUAAGCGCACAGGGCCGCAUGGUCCGGUGUGAAAAACUCCGGUGGUAUAGGAAGGACCCGCGUUGGAUUAGCCAGUUGGCAGGGUAACGGCCUACCAAAGCGACGAUCCAUAGCCGGCCUGAGAGGGUGAACGGCCACAUUGGGACUGAGACACGGCCCAGACUCCUACGGGAGGCAGCAGUGGGGAAUAUUGCACAAUGGGGGAAACCCUGAUGCAGCGACGCCGCGUGAAGGAAGAAGUAUCUCGGUAUGUAAACUUCUAUCAGCAGGGAAGAUAGUGACGGUACCUGACUAAGAAGCCCCGGCUAACUACGUG